rnacentral:rRNA from 1 species
CCGGCGACCGGCGCACGGGUGAGUAACACGUAUGCAACCUGCCCUCCGCAGGGGAUAACCCGGAGAAAUCCGGACUAAUACCCGCGUGGUACACCAGUGGGGCAUCCACGGUGUUUAAAGGAAGACGAUUCCGGCGGAGGAUGGGCAUGCGGCGCAUUAGCUUGUUGGCGGGGUAACGGCCCACCAAGGCGACGAUGCGUAGGGGUUCUGAGAGGAAGGUCCCCCACACUGGUACUGAGACACGGACCAGACUCCUACGGGAGGCAGCAG